UACGUAGGGGGCAAGCGUUGUCCGGAAUCAUUGGGCGUAAAGGGCGCGUAGGCGGAUUGUUAAGUCCGAUGUGAAAUACCAGGGCUCAACCCUGGGGCUGCAUCGGAAACUGGCAGUCUUGAGGACAGGAGAGGAAAGUGGAAUUCCACGUGUAGCGGUGAAAUGCGUAGAUAUGUGGAGGAACACCAGUGGCGAAGGCGACUUUCUGGACUGUAACUGACGCUGAGGCGCGAAAGCGUGGGGAGCAAACAGG
rnacentral:rRNA from 1 species